rnacentral:lncRNA from 1 species
GGUUGGAGGUUUAUCAAUUAUUGAUGGCAAGAAUGCUUAUUUUCAUCAAUGCAGAUUACAACUACAAUUCUACAAUCUGUACGCACUGUUGUUUCCAGGGGAAAUCAAUGUUACUUACUCACCACUAAGUUAGACUGAGUAUUUUAUGCUUCUCUUUUUUGGACUUUCUUUUUUAUUUUAUUUUUCCCAUUGGUAAUUGGGUUCUAAAAAGUGGAUCAUCUUGAUAGUCUGUUUUUCUAAAUCCUUUUUGCAUGUACGGUGUCUAGUGUCACUAACGUUUUUCCUCAAGUAAGUCUGAACUUUGCUGGUGGGGCAUCUCUGCUUUUAAGAUCACGGGACUACCUGAUACAACAUAAUUCUAUUGUAAGUAUUCAAACUUCAAUUGCUAUUUCUUAGAUUCUCUGAGCGUCUUGAGAACAGAUAUUGCUGAUAGCAUUUUGUUCUUCACGUACACUUUAUUGCUUUGUAUUGUCCAACUUUUGUGUACUAUAUGUGACCUCACUAGAUGCUAUGGUGAACCUAUGCAUGUUACAGGGUGGUGCAGCAGUGUGGUGUAUUGGUUUUCAAAAAAUCCAAGGUCAAGGGGUAACAAUUCUAGGAGGAAUAAUCCAUCCAUACCAAUUUGAAAACUUUAUGUCCUAUAUUCAUCUCUUUUAUGGUGACAUCUAGCAUGGAUAAAUGGACUAAGCUCAUCACAUAUUUAAUAUUGCAAGUUUCAUUUUUAACUUAAUUCUGCUCCACUCUUGCCAAUAUUUAUUGGAGACCAAUUAAAAUCUGUUUAAUUUAUUCUUGAUUCUGGAGUGAUCUAGGACUAUAUUACUGUACUGAAAUAUAUAAUAAUAUGGAGUUAUACUAAAAUUUGUCUAAUUUAACAUCGAUCUAAGUGAUUUGAAAUUAUAUUAUAUAAUAACUUGGAGUUAUAAUAAGUGGUUUAAACCAAAACAUUACAUCAGUAAUUUUCACAAUUCUGCAUUUUUGUUCUCUUUCAUUUCUCAAAUAUGGUCACAAAGGAGAUGCAUAAUCAGUAGAAAAAGGAUUAGAUAAGCUCCAACAUUCAUAACAUCUUUGUUACACUUUAUAGGAGGAAUAACAACCAAAUAUGAGGUGGAUUGAAGAUUCAAUCACCACAAAACAAAAUGGGCUAUCAUCAGAAAGAACUUUCAUUUUCAGUAAUUGAUCAUGCAUUUAAAUUUUGUUAUACAACUAAUUUCUCAUGAUGCUGCUUUAGCUCUUUAUAACAACUUCAAAAGACCAUUUACCUCACCAAAAGAACUUCUUAAGACUUCACACACCACUUUAAUUGUUUGUUUGGACUGAGAAGUGAAAAUAAGAUAGCAAAGAAGGAAAGAAAGAAAAGAGAGAAAAAGUGAAAUAUUUGAUUGUUUAAUAAAAGAGAGUAAAAAAAUGAAGAAAAAUGAAACAAUAAUUUAAUUGAUUUGAUAGAUUAAAAAAAUUAAUUGACAUAUUUAAUAAAUGAACAAAGUUUCCUUUUCUUAAAAAUGAAUUUUUGAUUAAAUGUUAAUAAAUUUUAAGUGUUUUUCCUAUAAAUUGGAUUUUCACUGUAAAAUAAUAAUU